GGCCUUGCUCUUAUGUCAUCUGACUAAAGGUUUCAUAGACCAAAAAUAACAAUCCAACCUGUUGGAAUACUGAAACAAUUGCUGCCUCCUUUCCACACACUACAUAAAAUAUGUGGAUAUCCUAAAUUCUACAAAAAAAGAUUUGUAAGCAAAUCAAGCAAUACUGGGACUCCCUCUUCUCCAGAAGAGACAUCCUGGCCUCCAUGCAGAGGAAUGUGUGGAUAGACAUAUAUUUAAGGAAGACACUAAACCAGAAAAUACUACAUUACACCCUCUUAAAAGACUUCUAAGAUUGUUGUCAUGCCUACCACUGACAUUCAGAUGAUGUGUAUUCUUGAUUGUGAUUUCAUGUUUGGAGCUGAUGAAGGAGUUUGAAGUCUCCAGAGCAGCAAGGAGAGUGGGGAGUAGAACUCAUCAUCUUUAAGUCACUCAUCACCG
rnacentral:lncRNA from 1 species